rnacentral:rRNA from 1 species
AGUUCGAUUCUGGCUCAGAUUGAACGCUGGCGGGAUGCUUUACACAUGCAAGUCGAACGGCAGCACGGACUUCGGUCUGGUGGCGAGUGGCGAACGGGUGAGUAAUGUAUCGGAACGUGCCUAGUAGCGGGGGAUAACUACGCGAAAGCGUAUUACUACCGCAUACGCCCUUCGGGGGAAAGUGACCUUCGGGCCUCGCACUAUUAGGAGCGGCCGAUAUCGGAUUAGCUGGUUGCGGGUAACGGCUCACCAAGUGCGACGAUCCGUAGCUGGUUUGAGAGGACGACCAGCCACACUGGACUGAGACACGGCCCAGACUCCUACGGAGGCAGCAGUGGGGAAUUUUGGACAAUGGGGAAACCCUGAUCCAGCCAUCCCGCGUGUGCGAUGAAGGCCUUCGGGUUGUGAAGCACUUUUGGCAGGGGAAAGAAACGGCACGGAUAAUACCCCGUGCAACCGAUGGUACCUGCAGAAUAAGCACCGGCUAACUACGUGCCAGCAGCCGUGGGUAAUACGUAGGGCGCAAGCGUUAAUUUGAAUCACGGGCGUAAAGCGUGCGCAGGGCGGUUCGGAAAGAAAGAUGUGAAAUGAGCUAACUUUGAACUGCAUUUUUAACUACCGAGUUUAGAGUGUUUGAGGGAGGUGGAAUUCCGUGUAGCAGUGAAAUGCGUAGAUAUGCGAGAACACUGAUGGCGAAGGCAGCCUCCUGGGAUAACACUGACGCUCAUGCACGAAAGCGUGGGAGCAAACAGUGAUUAGAUAUCUGGUAGUCCACGCCCCAAACGAUGUCAACUAGCUGUUAGCUUCGGCCUGUAGCGCAGCUAACGCGUGAAGUUGACCGCCUGGGGAGUACGGUCGCAAGAUUAAAACUCAAAGGAAUUGACGGGGACCCGCACAAGCGGUGGAUGAUGCGGGAUUUCUUGACCUGAUGCAAAACGCGAAAACCUUACCUACCCUUUGACAUGUCUGGAAUCCCGAAGAGAUUUGGGAGUGCUCGCAAGAGAACCGGAACACAGGUGCCAGCGCACAUUGCCGUCAGCUCGUGUCGUGAGAUGUUGGGUUAAGUCCUCGCAACGAGCGCAACCCUGGUCAUUAGCUGCUACGAAAGGGCACUGGCGAGACUGCCGGUGACAAACCGGAGGAAGGUGGGGAUGACGUCAAGUCCUCAUGGCCCUUAUGGGUAGGGCUUCAAGACACGUCAUACAAUGGUCGGGACAGAGGGUCGCCAACCCGCGAGGGGGAGCCAAUCCCAGAAACCCGGAUCGCAGUCCGGAUCGCAGUCUUGCAACUCGACUGCGUGAAGUCGGAAUCGCUAGUAAUCGCGGAUCAGCAUGUCGCGGUGAAUACGUUCCGGUCUUGUACACACCGCCCGUCACACCAUGGGAGUGGGUUUUACCAGAAGUAGUUAGCCUAACCGGGGCGAGGCGAUUACCACGGUAGGAUCUCAUGACUGGGGUAGUCGCAAUACGGUAG